rnacentral:lncRNA from 1 species
GCAGUUUUGGCAGAGGGAAGCUGCAUUGCUGAGGCAACAACUAGAGAACCUGCAAGAGAAUCAUCGGUAAGCUCUUCUUAGCAUAAUUUUUCAUGUUGUGAGUGAAUAACUUAUCCAACUACCAAUAGGACUAAACUAAAGGCAUGUUGACCAUAUUGUUAAAUCCAUAGGGUUGGACUUAUUUUGGUAACUUGAUGCUCCUUGUAUUUUUAUUUUAGUUAGUGAAUCCCAAACCAAACCCCUCCACAGAGGCCAACAAUGGAACUUUCCACUUUCCCUUAGGUGACUCGAUCUCCAAACCUCUUGAUUGGAAUUGGAAUGUCCGUGCCCAAUUGGUGACUCGAAUGCCCUUAGUCUUGGUUGGAAUUGUAAUACUCUCCUGGUGGCACUAUUGAUUUUUGAGAAUUACAAGUGAAUUCCUUUGAGAUGAAGGUAGCCAUUAUCUAAUAUUGAAAUACUGCUCCUCACAGAAGUCAUCUCAUUUAAUAAACCGAAAUCUUUCCUUCUUUGACUUCUUUGAAUACCUAGUCCAUUUUACUUGGAAAGUUUUUUGAAGAACUGUCCCCAAAACAGAUUGUUUUCUUGAAAUCAAACAAAAAUGGUUUCCAAAAAACAAAGCAAUUUAAGGUAGUUUUUUUUCCACAAAACUAGCACAAAUAUUCUUAAAAGCAUAUUUCUCAAAGGUAAUAGUUAAUACAAAUACAUAACGUUUCCCCAAAUUACGGAACUUUCUCCAAAACCUAACUUCCAGGAAUUAAACCAAUAGCAAAUCAAAAUGUCACCUCAGAAUCUUCUAUUCCAUUGAGUAAUCUAUUGGAGCUUUUAUUGUUCCAGAAGAGAUGAAUUAUUCCUUCACUAAACUACUUGUUAUUUAACCGAUCCAAAAAAAAAACACUUGCUAUUUAGCUCUUAGCAAUUUAUCUCAAAAUUUUAUUGAAGUACUUUUUUUUUUAUAAGGUAAUGUAAAUUUCAUUUAAAAAGUACCAAGAAGAUACAGAAAGCAUACAAAACUUCAGCACUGCCGAAAACUAUUACAAUCUCAAAACUUCUAUAAAAUCAAUACUCUUAUUUAGGAAUUCCCCUCCCAAAUAAACUGACUUCCUCUCAGCAUUCCCCUCCCAAAGAAACUGACUUCUCAUGGAAUCAAAUUUCUUUUCCUCACUGACUGGGAUGGGGAAAAGAGACAUCAAAUAUGUAGGAAUUCCAUCCAGCACACUAUUAAUUAAAGUGAGCCUCCCACCUAAGGAUAGAUAUUGAAGUACUUUACCUCCUAAGCUAUCUUUUGAGCACUUUAAGCAUCCUUCUAUGAAAUGCAGGCCCUGACUCCAUUCCAUUGAAUUAUCCCGUAGCUAAGGGCACAAGUUUUCUUUGCUUUUCGUUUUUCUUCUUGCUUGUAUUUCCCAAACUCCACAAUCAAUAUCGCCUCCUUUCCUCUCCUUUUUCUUUUCUUUCUUCCUCCUCUCCCGCACCACCAAUAAACACCCUCAGUCCAUAGCUUAUUCUCCUUCUCAUUUUCCUCUCUACAUAUUGGUGUCAAAUAAAGAUAUAGAGAUAAAGAUAGAGAUAAAGAAAAAGAAAAAGGAAAGCCUUGAUAAGUUGUUUGCUUGUAGCGGGAUAGUGUUUAAAAGAAGAAGAGAAGAGUAGCGGGUAAGAGAUGAGCCAAGAUAAUAACCAAAAAGAGACUAUCAUGAAGGAAUAUAAAAUGGAAAAGUCUCCUUCACUGUAUGAUGAAAGGCUAAACUCAUGUAAAAAGUUGAGCAGGUAAUGUUUGGGAAAGUUCUAGUACUAGAUAGUUCAAGAAAACUACAUGCCUUACUGUUGUUUAUAAGUGGUAAUUCUCUCACUCUAUCUUCUCUCUAAUUCUCUUCUUCAUUAAAAGCCAGGUCUAAUAAAUCUCCUCCCAUCGCCAUCAGAAUCAAUAAGGAAACCAUUUGUUCCAAACUUUGCUUCUGCAAGCCAGGGCAUCGUUGCCACUCUUUCAGCCACAUAAAAAGCCAAAUAAUCUCCACAUCCUACAAUCGAGCGACCUACUAAUCCUGUGUUCAAGUGGACCUCCAAAAUAGGACCAAUUUUGGUGAUUCAUACAUGAUUUUGCUACGAACAUAUCCCAGCAGGACAUAGGGAUACUGGUUGUUAUAUUUAAUUCCAUCAUUACAAUCUUAGUUAUGGCUCAUACCAGAUUAUUAUGGAGCAAACCACAAUCAUAUCAAAUGGAGAUGUAAAGACGAAUGUUUAGAAAAUUCCACAUCAAAAUUGAAGCAACAGAAGAUGUGCAACAUUUGUCUUGUCUGCUCGAGAACAUACAUACAUAAAUGUUCGCUUCAAUGCAUUCACCGGUGCCAGAACAGAUAAAAGGUAUUCAUGUGUAAGGUCAUUGAGAUCAGGUUCACUGCAAAAUGAACGAACCCUGCAAUAACCUUUAGGGGAGAAUUAUUUUCUUUACGUCCCUUUUUCCCGGGGGGUUGUACUUAAUUGGAUUUAUAUAAUACUUAUCUUUUUGAAACUAAAUCUUAUGAAAGCCUCAGCUACCAGAAAAUUAUACAGACCUCAGUUGCCAGUGACAAAGUAACAUACAUUCAUCUACCAGUAUAGUUGUGUUGGAAUCAACAAAAUACCUACUAACUACGUCACGAAAUCUUUCCUGUUUCCUUAAAGUAACAACAUGGGAUAAUAAACUUUUUCACUUUAUUUGAAUAUAGUAUAAGAAGUUCUGAACUGUAAGGUAUAGCCUAUUUUAGUUACUUCUUGAGACACGGAUUUCUUUCCUCUGUACGGCACUUCUCUCAUGCUCAGGCAAUUAAAGAUAUUUUAUUUCCUAGCACAAAGAGAGAAAAACAGCAGCACAUAAACUAAACUUGUGCCAACAAAGGAAACUUCAAAGGUUCUACUAGAGGUAGGUGUGCAAUGUGUAGGGAUGCCCCUCUAUUAUCUUCAUGGAUGUUGACUUCCAAGGUACUUACUUAUGAAGCAGGAAUAACCAGAAAAAUUAGGCCUUAAUUUUCAACCACUUUUCCAGCAAACACUGAAGCGAACAGAUUAGAUAGCUUGAAACAUUUUAGUUUUGAAAUAAGAAUGCUCAAAAACCCAAAUGUCCACUCGAGACUCUCCCAAAAGUAUCAAAUCUGUAAGUGCUAACAGAAAGGCAUUUAAGAUCCUACCAGGCAGGUGGUGUUAGAAAAUGAAAGAGCGAUCUGGAGAAAAUUUUUUAACUUUGGGAACACCUAUUUAUGGGGUUGAAUAUAUUUCUCCAACAUGGGACAGUAUAGCUUAACAUUCUAGCCUGGCCUGCCCCUUUAAACUCAAGGUGGGAAACCAACUUAAGUCGCUUAUUUUGAAUAAAACUUGGAACAGAAUAAAUUUACCUGAACAAUGAAUAGAUUCCUGAAUGGUGAAUAAUUGCCAAAAAAUGAAUGGGAAGAGACACCAUAAGUCCAUACCCCCCCCCCCCCCACACACACACACACAAAAAAAGCCAGAGAAAGUUAUGGUUUAUGUGCAGCACACACAGAAGGAAACCUAUCCUCAAACACGAGAAAGAAAGGCACUAUGAAAAUUUUCCCAGACAUCACCAGUGUAGCAACCAACUCUUAAAGUGGCAGUUGAACAGUAACCAAGUGGUGCCUAAAGAGAACAACAACCGCAAUAUUGGCAGGAAAGAUGUCUACAAAAUUUCUUAUAGCAUGCAAGCCCAAAAUAGUGGCAGGAAAGAGAUGUGAUUCCAUGCCACUGAUUACCCCAAGAACAAUGAUGAGAAAAAUUUAAAAUCGUUAAAGGAAAAACUUUGGUAAGGUGGAUGUUGUUAGGGUCAGACAGCUGGACGAGAAAGUGACUUAGGUCUAUACUAUGAUCGUGGAGUCUCUCAUAACCAGCGAGAAUAUGAGAGAUAUUCUAACUAGGCAUUGAUAUAUUUAGAAGAAGAUACACAUACCUAUGGUGCAAUAAAACUUACACCAACAUUCUACCAAGUGUUGCAUAACAAUAAAAAAGGAUGAGGCAUUCCCGUCGAAAUAUACUUCUUGAAAUACAUUCACUACCCUUAAUCGAUCAAGGGAAACUCAAAUGACUAGCCACUGUAUUCCCUCGACAAGAAUUAUAUUAAGCAACAAUUCACAAUGAACACAGAAUCUCAUAUUAAUAAACUGUUAGCAUGGACUUAAAUGGAAAACCACCUUAUACUUAAUAUAUUACAGUACAAGGUAAACGGGCGGGUAGGAUAUGGUUCGGGUCAAAAACGGGUAAUAAAAAUGAAUAAAUUAUCCAACCCGACCCAUAUUUAAUACGGAUAAAAAACGGGUUAACCGGCGGAUAAUAUGGGUAACCAUAUUAUCCAUGACUUCUUGCAUAUGAUCAAUUUUGGGAGAAUUCUUAGUCUCCCUAACUUGAGGAACCCCCAAUUUGAGGUUUUACAAAUGUAAAAGUUAGACACAUUGGUUAUCCAUUGGUUAUCCAUUUUGUAAAUGGAUAAUAUGGUUCUUAUCCAUAUUUGAUCCGUUUUUAAAAAGUUUAUUAUCCAACCCAUUUUUUAGUGAUAAUAUGGGUGGUUAACUGUUUUCUUUUAACCAUUUUGCUACCCCUAAUUAUAACAAUUACUCUAUAGUAAAUCAGAUGCAGAUCUGGGAGGACUGCACAUGAUGUGCCUCACCAGUAUAAGCUUACAAAACCACUAAAGUUGGAGACUGUGACCUAAUCAUUGAUAAGCUAAUAUCAUAUGGUAUUGCGGAUAUCUGUGGGAGCUCAAACUGUCAAGUUCGUCACACCAAAACACCACGUAUUGUGUAGCUAUAGCUUUUUUUUUCUUUUUUUAUAAGUCAAUAUAGUUACUUCUAGAAGCGAAAUGAAUACUGCUAGUCUGUAGUUAAGUCAUGGAUAUUAUGUUAAAGGCCUAGAUUGGCUUAAAAGAUUGUUUCUCCUGCAGACAAAUGAUGGGUGAAGAGCUAUCUGGACUGAAUGUCAAAGAUUUACAAAACUUGGAGAAGCAACUCGAAAUGAGUCUUCGUGGAGUCCGUAUGAGAAAGGUAUGAACUUUCACCUCCAAAUGUCCCAUAUAUUAUUGUGUAUAAAUAGUACUGACGACCACUACUUUCUGUAGGACCAAAUUAUGAUUGAUGAGGUGCAAGAACUAAACCAAAAGGUCAACCACAUAACUGCAGCCACUUGUUGUCAUUAUCCUAUGAAUUUCUCUGAGAAGCUAAACUCCAUCUGUUUCAAUGCAGGGAAAUCUCAGCCAUCAAGAAAACAUGGAACUUUAUAAGAAGCUAGACCUAGCUCGUCAAGAAAAUACGGAAUUGUAUAAGAAGGUAUCGAUGUAUAUCCCUAGAAAAGAUUUCACUUACGCUAGUAGAUAAUAAUUUCCUAGUGUAUUAAAAAUCAAGACGAAAAACUUUAGUCAUUCUGCUUCAAAAAAAUUUCAUGUUCUGCCGGAAAUCAGGUUUAUGGAACUAGAGAUGCAAAUGCAGUGAGCAGAAAUGCCAUGAGUUCAAACAGUUUACGCGUCAAUGAGGACCCUCAUGCACCUCUCCAUCUCCAGCUAAGCCAGCCUCAGCAACAACACUAUGAAACACCAGGAACUACAAAAUUGGGGUAAUUUUCACGUCCAUAUAAUUUGAAUGCACCAAACAAACUCCCACUAUCUGGACCCUUGAUUCUUGUCUAACUGGAAUGCUGCAGGCUAUCACUGCAUUAGUGGAGUUGAUGCAGACUGCCAUUAAGCUCUCUUCUCGAUCAAGUACUCCAUGCUCACGAAUAUAUGUUAAAAUUAUUAAGGACUGGUAUAGAACCCGUAGAUGUAAGGGGAAAAUUGGUCAAUUGACCUGGUAAAUGCUAGCAAGUUGGUAUGUAAUAGGUAUCCACAAAACAGCCACCCAAAUCAUGUUUAACUAUGAAUAAAGAAAAUGUUAGCACAGUUAAUGUUCUUUGACUGUCUUGAUACUUCAUGCUUAUGAUGCAUAUGCCUAUUAGUUAGGAAUGCACUUAAUCUGACAGAUUAAAGCUAAAUAUAAAUACUAUGCAGAAAAACUUAUGCAGACAACAGUAGCAUCUCAGAUAAAAUACUCGAGAAAAGCACCAGAAGCAAACAGAAUAAGAGCAGACCAAAAAACUGACCAAAGAGUACACUAAGAUAUACCUAAAAGCUGCAUCAAUAUGCAUUGCAAAAGCAUCAUCAAGGAGAUACUAAACUCAUAUUCACAUCCAUGCCGACUUUCAGCAUCUACCUAGAAAAAGAACAUGUAACAGUAAUAUUGGUAAAGUCCUACCCAGCAAAGAUGAAAAACAUCAGUUAAUGAAUUCUUAUAGUGGUAGGUCACUGAAAAAGAAGAAAAGAAUGAACUACAUGAAAGACUAAAUGAUGGGGAAAUAUGCACGGCGAGAAUUAGAUCAGUUCAGUGCACGAGAUAUGCCCCGUAAAAGUGAUCACCACAUUCUUAGCUAGUUAAAGUGUUGCUUAAAUGAAGUCAUUUUCUGGAUUCCAAAGAUAUCGGACUGGCAUCCAAUAAAUGCCAUCUCAAUGUACUACAAAAGCCAAAGUUACCAUAGAAAUUUCAGUUUACUAUCACAAGUUUGAGAUUUGGUUCAAAAUGCCAUCUCUAUUGAGAUAAUCCGCCACUCAAGUGAAAUUGCAUGUCAUCCUAGAGUUAAACAAUAUGGCAAAAACUAUUUUUACCCCUAGCCACUAUUCUGGAAAGCUAGAGUAGACAAUCACGUUUCUAAUAAUUUUCAUGGGCAAGGAGUGAUGGAUGAAAAGCAGCAUGGAUAGAGAAGCACGUGCCAUUUUUUUCAUUUUAAUUUUUUCAUCACUUAACCAUGCAAAAUAAUGAGCAGCCCGAAUGGCAUCCCAUAAGAUGCGUGACUUCAUCAUGUGACAAAUUAACUGAAGUUGAUAUGGAGAUGAACACAAUGGAUUAACAUCCAUAUCUCAGGAAAAAAUCGAAGAAUUGUUUCAAGGGUACUAAGAUACUACAAGAAACUGAUGAAACAAUUACUAUUUAUUGACUUGAAUAUGUGGACUCUGCCUCAAAUAAUUCGUCAUAACUUUUUUUUAUCAAGAAUCAAUUCAGCCAAAUUUCGGUUAAGACAAAGAAAAUGCAAAAACAAAACAGUAAUCUCAAACAUUUUAUACAGGACAAAUAUAUUCUGAAACUAUGUGAAAGUGAAUUAUAUGCUAACAUAAGUUUGAACUUUAAGGUGUUUAACAUAUGUUAAAUACAAAAAAAUCAAAAUUUUUAGUGAUCCGAUAACAUCAACAUCUACUACAAUAAUGGUACUACAAUAAUAACAUCAACAUCUACUAUUUAUUGACUUGAAUAUGUGGCCUCUGCCUCAAAUAAUUCGUCAUAACUUUUUUUUAUCAAGAAUCAAUUCAGCCAAAUUUCGAUUAAGACAAAAAAAAAAUGCAAAAACAAAACAGUAAUCUCAAACAUUUUAUACAGGACAAAUAUAUUCUGAAACUAUGUGAAAGUGAAUUAUAUGCUCACAGAAGUUUGAACUUUAAGGUGUUUAACAUAUGUUAAAUACAAAAAAGUCAAAAAUUUUAAAAGGAUAUAACUAUCGAUUAGUAUUGUAUGAUGCAAUUAAAUUUAUAAUCUAGUCAAAAUAUAACAAUACAUCCAAAAAAAUUCACGGCAUCAUGAACUAUGCACACACCUUAUCACAAGAGUCCACAUCUAUAAAAAGCUUUCCAAAAGGAAGUAUAGCAAAGACAAAGGUUAGGUGUUGCUUCUUGUCCUAGCAUGUGGUUUAUACUUACGUAUAAGGUAAAAUGCAUUUACUUUAAUAAUAUGGGAGCAACAUUUUCUAAGAGAAAAUAUAAACAGGUAAUACUAAUAGGAUCACUAAGAUUUUGCCAUCUUAUGUGAUCCGAUAACAUCAACAUCUACUACAAUAAUGGUACCUCAGCCCUCUUUGUUUCUACCUACCAAUAUGAAUCAAUUUCCCAAAUUCAGGCAAUAGGAUCAUGUGGUCAGAAUCAAAAUUUUAACAACAUAUAGUAAACUAGAACUUAACUAUGGAUUGGAAUAGGGAGAAACACAAAUUGAAUGAAAAACCAAACUACACCACUUUCCGAAGAUCUUUUCCUUCUCUCGUGAAUCAAACAUCAAUUGCAACGAUUUGAUGGAUGACUCAUUUGGAUAGAUGUAGAUGACCCCCCCCUCCCCCCGAAAAAAAACCCUCUAGAGACAUAGUAAGAAGUUUUCUCCUCAUACUGCUCAAGAAAAAUGAUUGAUUCGAGGUUUGGUCGGUGUAAUCUGUAUGGAAUUCUAUCUAAUAAACGACAAAUGGGUCCAUAAAUUGAAUGCAAACACAUAACUUUGGGCAUCAUAUUAGUUACUGAGAAGCAAAAAUUUCCAUGGUUUAACUUUAGAUUUUUUUGUGUGGAGCAAGAAAGUAUUUAAACAAAUAAAUUAACUAUACAAGAUGAAUUCUUACUUGCAAUGAAGAAGCCUAAUUUAUUUAUUUAUUUAUUUUCAUGAUGGUGGUUUGUGGAGCAACUUAGAGUGCGUUUGGGCAUAAAAAAAAAUUCCUUUUUUUCCGAAAAAAUUUCACUUUUUUCGAAAUCAGCGUUUGUUCGUAAAAUUUUCAAUUUUCACUUGAAGAUGCAUUUUGGAAAUUUUUGAAAAUUUGAAAACUCUAAAAAGUUGUUUUUCAAAAUUUUCACUCAAAUCACUCACAAAACUUCAAAAACAACCCAAACUGAAAUUUUAUGUCCAAACACAACUCUAAAUUUCAAAUACCAUUUUCACUUGAAAAAAAAUUUCACCAUUUUUUGGAAUUUUACAAUUCUUAUGUCCAAACGCCUACUUAGGCCAUCUUGACUAAUUCAUCGGGUUUAUGUUAUCUCCCACCAACAUAGGUGUCAGAUAAUUCGCACAAAGAACUCACCUAGUGUCGUCUUUGCUGGAGUCGAACAUUGGUUCUCAAUUUUGUCACUCCAACUCUUUGAUGGCAAGACGACUCCCCUUUGAAGCUAUAGGGGCCUUAUUUCAUUAUAGCGCAAGAAUAAAGAAAGACCAAAGAUCUGAUAUAAUCAAUAUAGGGAAAGUCUAUUGGAUUACGAGAUCCUACAUCACUAACUUGAAGGAAAAAAAAAACUUGCAAUAUGUCAAAGACUCCCAAUCAAGGGUACCUUGGCGUCGAAAAGUUUACUAGAUGCGAGUUGGUAUUCUAGUCCAUCUUCUAGUACCAGACCAUUGUUGUGAAGCUGCCCGUGUUCUUUUAAUAUGUGAAGCCACUUGAAGUUACAUGGGCUCGUACCAUCGGCGGAUUGAAUGUACAUGUUGUGAGUUCUAAAAGAUAUAUAUCUAACUCUAUCUAUACUUGGUUUUCUUUCUAUACUUGUUUUUCAUACAUAGAGUUCGUGAGUUAACAUAUUUCCAAAGGAUUAUUAUUUCAGAUAAUGUCCACAGGAAGGAAAAUGCACCACCUACACAACCAUAUAGCAGAGCACCAAGAUUAUACCACACAGGCAUAAAGCAUGAUUAUCUCCUGCUCUAACGUACAACCAUUUUAUAUAUCAAUAUAUGGUUCUUCAAACUGGAAUGAUAUAUCAAUAGCAAUAAACGAAACAGAAAAACAAACAAAAAAAAAGAAAAGUUUACAUGUGACAACAAAUAUGCAGGCACCAAAUAUUCAACAACCAUCAGUACUGUACCACUAGUAAAACUAAUACUCCAGUACUCCUAAAGCUUAACAUUGAAUACAAAAAUGAUGCUUCUUAGAAUCCUUAAAGAAAUGAAACUCCAACAACUCUGAGCACAGGUGGAUCCAACCCUCGGGUUUGAACAUAUGUGUGUGUGCGCGCGCUCUCUCUCUCACUGAAUUCAAAACUGAAUCAACAUAUGUGAGUAAGCUAGAGUUUUUACGAGCAAAAAGUAAUAAAACUAAAUAGUGCGUGCUACAAAAGCAAAUUAUUUGAUCGACUACUAUACAAUGAAAGAAGCGACAUAACGGACCUGAAAAAACGAAGCGAUGGCUUUUCCGUAGUUGCUAAAGUCGUGAUUACAAAUGAUGUAUAUUUCCCAACUUAAGAUCUGCAAAAGUUCCAAAAAGAAACAAAACAUUAAAAUAAAAAGGGAUACAAGUUAACAAAAAUUAUGUUACUAGCAAAAGAAUUAUGUAAAAAGCCUAAAGAUAUUGAAUUUCGCAUUUGUGAUGUCAGCUGUGUUCUCUUGCGGAGCUUUUCUCAGGAAAUAAACAGCAAAAGCUGAAUUGAAUCACGCCAUUAGCAUGCAUUACAAUUUCAUAUAGUGAUUGAUUGAACGAAAGAAGAAGAACGUUUAACAGAAAUUGCAAUUGCGUACUAAAUCAAACAAAUUGAGUAGAAGAUGUACGGAAUUUUGAAGAAAGAGAGAAGGAUUUUCGAUUGCAUUUCGCUUCAGAAAGGGAGACAGGAAGAGUUGCGUUAAUACCUAACAGUAAAAGAGGUUCGAUAGAGAUGGCGAGAGCGGUCAGAGAAGAUUGAAUGGGCAGA